UUAGCCUUUCGAAUGACUAGGAGGUGCAAACUACUCUGCAACACCUUUUGGUUCAGACAAAGGCUUACAUCAAUUGAUCGGAUAUAAAAUUC